rnacentral:lncRNA from 1 species
GCUUAAUCCGAGGAGAUACAAUCACUGUGAUAGGGCACAAAGAUCGAUCUCUUCCACAGCUCCAGUGCUGCAGCCAGUACCAAUAUAUCAGCCUUCACAUCACAAUCAGAAUCCAAGGCUUAAUCAGAUUGUUAGGAGUGGUCCAACGAUGAACCUGCAGCAGCAACUCAGAGGACCAAACCAUGGAUCAACAUCGUCUACAAGUGAUGGAAACAAUUUCAGGGAACCUAUUGGUAUGGAGCGACAACGUUUUCUAGAUGCAGCACCUCGGAACACAUAUCAGCAGCUUUCAGUGGCUAACCAGAUUCGAGGGCCUGCAUUAGUACAUCGCAACUAUGAACCAUGGAGUCUUCAGAACACAUAUCCUCAGCAUCCUAGUUCAGCAGCUCCAGUGCAGCGGCUUAAUGCUCGACAAGAAGGAACGUUUUCUCAAGCUUAUGAUGACCAGCAUAGACCAUGGCUUAAUCCGAGGAGAUACAAUCACUGUGAUAGGGCACAAAGAUCGAUCUCUUCCACAGCUCCAGUGCUGCAGCCAGUACCAAUAUAUCAGCCUUCACAUCACAAUCAGAAUCCAAGGCUUAAUCAGAUUGUUAGGAGUGGUCCAACGAUGAACCUGCAGCAGCAACUCAGAGGACCAAACCAUGGAUCAACAUCGUCUACAAGUGAUGGAAACAAUUUCAGGGAACCUAUUGGUAUGGAGCGACAACGUUUUCUAGAUGCAGCACCUCGGAACACAUAUCAGCAGCUUUCAGUGGCUAACCAGAUUCGAGGGCCU